GACGAACGCUGGCGGCGCGCCUAACACAUGCAAGUCGAACGGGCGAGAGAGAGCUUGCUUUCUCAAGCGAGUGGCGAACGGGUGAGUAACGCGUGAGGAACCUGCCUCAAAGAGGGGGACAACAGUUGGAAACGACUGCUAAUACCGCAUAAGCCCACGACCCGGCAUCGGGUAGAGGGAAAAGGAGCAAUCCGCUUUGAGAUGGCCGCGCGUCCGAUUAGCUAGUUGGUGAGGUAACGGCCCACCAAGGCGACGAUCGGUAGCCGGACUGAGAGGUUGAACGGCCACAUUGGGACUGAGACACGGCCCAGACUCCUACGGGAGGCAGCAGUGGGGAAUAUUGCACAAUGGGGGAAACCCUGAUGCAGCGACGCCGCGUGGAGGAAGAAGGUCUUCGGAUUGUAAACUCCUGUUGUUGAGGAAGAUAAUGACGGUACUCAACAAGGAAGUGACGGCUAACUACGUG
rnacentral:rRNA from 1 species